rnacentral:rRNA from 1 species
CCCUUAGAUGUUCUGGGCCGCACGCGCGCUACACUGACAGGGCCAGCGAGUACAUCACCUUAACCGAGAGGUUUGGGUAAUCUUGUUAAACCCUGUCGUGCUGGGGAUAGAGCAUUGCAAUUAUUGCUCUUCAACGAGGAAUGCCUAGUAGGCACGAGUCAUCAGCUCGUGCCGAUUACGUCCCUGCCCUUUGUACACACCGCCCGUCGCUCCUACCGAUUGAGUGGUCCGGUGAGGCUUUGGGAUCUGAGCGGAAAGAGCGUUUCGCUGUUUCUGCUCGGAAAACUCAGUCGAACCUUAUCAUUUAGAGGAAGGAGAAGUCGUAACA